rnacentral:lncRNA from 1 species
GGAUUUGCAGUUUCACCAAACAGCACCACAGCAUCAGAGCUAGCGGGCAUUUUCAUCUGUAAGAUGAGCGAGUUCGGUUCGUUGGCAGGAAGACAGCUGCGCGUUGAAAUGUGUGUGUAGUGUGAUGAAAGUUCUAAAGGAACAAAACAGUAGUAGGAGUUUCGUGAUGGAGACCUGAGACUUCUGAAGAAGCCAGAGCAUGACCUUUGAACUUCAACCUUCAUUGUGUCUGAAGGAGUUCCUACCUUUGAUUUCUUCAUGAGCAGCAGAAGCCGCGUGAAGGAAACUGUGUGUGUCAGCGACGCUCUAACCACAACAAGUGUCACACAGGGUUCAGUGUUUGAGUAGAUCUACUGACUGAAGGCCUGAACAAGAAUGGGCCUAAAGGGAAGCGUCUCCCCCCACACC